GCCCUUAGAGUUUGAUGGUGGCUCAGAACGAACGCUGGCGGCAGGCUUAACACAUGCAAGUCGAACGAUAUAGUGGCAGACGGGUGAGUAACGCGUGGAAACGUGCCUUUCACUACGGAAUAGCUUUUGGAAACGAAAGGUAAUACCGUAUACGCCCUCCGGGGGAAAGAUUUAUCGGUGAAAGAUCGGUCCGCGUUAGAUUAGCUAGUUGGUGAGGUAAAAGCUCACCAAGGCGACGAUCUAUAGCUGGUCUGAGAGGAUGAUCAGCCACACUGGGACUGAGACACGGCCCAGACUCCUACGGGAGGCAGCAGUGGGGAAUAUUGCACAAUGGGCGCAAGCCUGAUGCAGCCAUGCCGCGUGAAUGAUGAAGGCCUUAGGGUUGUAAAAUUCUUUCGCCAGGGAUGAUAAUGACAGUACCUGGUAAAGAAGCCCCGGCUAACUUCGUGCCAGCAGCCGCGGUAAUACGAAGGGGGCUAGCGUUGUUCGGAAUUACUGGGCGUAAAGCGCACGUAGGCGGACUAUUAAGUCAGAUGUGAAAUCCCGAGGCUCAACCUCGGAACUGCAUUUGAAACUGGUAGUCUAGAGAUCAGGAGAGGUUAGCGGAAUACCGAGUGUAGAGGUGAAAUUCGUAGAUAUUCGGUGGAACACCAGUGGCGAAGGCGGCUAACUGGACUGAUACUGACGCUGAGGUGCGAAAGUGUGGGGAGCAAACAGGAUUAGAUACCCUGGUAGUCCACACCGUAAACGAUGAGUGCUAGUUGUCUGCAGGCAUGCCUGUAGGUGACGCAGCUAACGCAUUAAGCACUCCGCCUNGGAGUACGGCCGCAAGGUUAAAACUCAAAGAAAUUGAUGGGGGGCCCGCACAAGCGGUGGAGCAUGUG
rnacentral:rRNA from 1 species